UUCACACCAAACCAAGUCUCACACUGACGAGCCUCCUGGUCACCGUGCAGGGCAGGCAUUAUGAUUUAUUCAUGGUAGCACCCAGCACACGGGACAGACUCUAUAAAUGCUCACGGAAUGGAAUGGACACCAUGGGGGUCCUUUCUAAGCUACCCUGGAGUGGUACUGUCCCACACUGCUGGCAACCCCAGAAGUGCCAUCAGUGACCCCGAACUCUGCUGAAGGCCUACACCUGCUGAAGAAGCUCAUGCCCAGUUUGAACCCACUCAUGACUGAGCCCAAGGACAGUCUUGUCUGUGCCAAGGGUCCUGGCGGCUGCGUUGAAGGACUGAAGGGGAAAAAAAUCACCAUUUUGCUUUCUCCACUCUUGACUGUGAAGUUUAAUAUAAGUUCCUUACACAUGGUCUCCCCAGAAAGCACUGAGGACUGAUUCAUCACUUCAAGCAGUCAAUUAGAAUCCGGGAAAGCCUCUCUCUGGCCUCACCUUACUUCCUGUACCAGGAGAGAUGCUCAUUAAUAGUAAGAAAGAGUUGAUGGGAUUAGAGUCUGGAAGUGACAACCUCUCCUGAACCUGAACUCAUUGAUUUCUUCGUUUUACAAAACAGUGUUCUUGAGAAAAAUAAACAAAAAAAGGAAAUAAUACAACUAAUAACUCCAAGGUCUAAAUUUAAACCAGCUGUAUCUCAUAACAACAGAAGCUGCAAUGGCCAACAUACGUCAUUUAUAAAACGCCAACUUAUGUGGAUGGGGAUUGGAAUUUCUUGGCAUAAUGCAAAGAGCAUAUAAAAAAUGAGUACGGAAAAGACUACUGUUUGUGUGUAUAUGUAAUUAUUACAUAUAUUCUUAAAUGAUAUUUAAUAAAUAAUCAAAUGAUUAAAUAAUAUAUACUAUA